UUAUGACAAGUGUGAGUUAUUUUAAAUUUAUAAGAAAAUCUCUCAACGGCUUUAUUCCUCCUCCGGUUCUUCUUUUCUCGCCUCUCUCUUUUCCUUCCGAUUAAUGAAUCAAUUCGCCGUAGUUCAAUCCCAGGGCUGCAGUUGUCUUAUUCUCUAAUGUGAAAGACUUGACCCUGGCAUAUUUUCUUACUUCACAUGUACCAUAUUCUGGCCAAGGGAAGGAAGUAUGUGAUGCUGUAAUCCCAAAAUGCCUUGCCCCACAGUUCCUUGCAUUUGUCAUGAAUUUUCUUUUGUGUGUCCUCUGAUUAACUUAAAGAAAAGAGAGGUUUGCUGAUUGCUUUUGGGUUAGGAUAAAUAUGUCUGGAUGGGGAAAGGGUGUUUCUUUAUCUUUGGCAUUGUGAAAUGCCAUAACAAACCUUGCUGGUAAGUUAAGUUAGUCUCUCUAUUUCCUUUCAUGUUGAUAAAAAGAUAUUAUUAAGGGUGGUUUUUGGUGAGAUAAUAAUAUCGACUGUGAAGGUCUCCAAACUUGUGUAAGUGCCUCUUUAUUUCUUAGUUUGGUAUGCAAGUUAUCAAAUAUUCUUUUUCCUUGCAUGAUAUUAAUUGUGUUGGUAAAUUUACCAAGAACAAUUUACCUAUCUUGCAAGAUAUUAAUAUGCUUCUGUUUUUGACGAACAAUGGCACCAUGAACCCAUGUCAGUAGACGGGAAAAUGAGGUGGAGAAAAGAAAUCAAACGAUGGAUCAAACAUGGAGGGAAGUUAUAGUUUCUGGACAGCAAUAUUCAGAGAAAGAAGCAGACAUUAAGACAGCCAUGACAGAUAUUCAUCCCCCUCCUUAAAAUUUGGACUUGAAAUUCAUUUUAUGUGACACUGUGUUGUAUUAAACACUAGGAUAUAUGUUGAUAAUAAUAAAAAGAUAAAUAUUUUUUGGGUUUGGGAGGAAGAAGACUGCUAGGAGUGCCAAGUCUCUUCCUCUCUCUGCUCUGUAUGGUUUGUGUGUGUAUGUUCCCCUCUCUCUUCCUCGCUUUCUUCCCUAUUCAAUCUCUCUCUGUGCUUUCGCUUU